UUUUAUACUUGUUCCAGUUUCUAAUUUUAGUUUUUCAACCUUCAUCUUAUUGUUUUCAAUUUCACAUGUUAGCGAAAGCCAUAUUGUAACGUAAGUCAUUCAAGGUCAGACAAUUUAUCUUCACAAUGGCUUUUCCAUUGCAAAACGCGGUUGUUCUCACACACGAUGUAUGAAUGAAUGGGUUGCUCAAUGAAUCUACUGACGCCUAGGGACUGAUUACCUCUGACCUAUUCAUUUAUAGUCCUUACAUUGAUUUGAUGUAUUUAAUUUGAUUAUUUGAUGUAGCUAACGUGUUAUUUGUGUUAUGCAUGUGCACCUACAUACAGAAUGGAACAUUUUCAAACCAUUUGUAGCUAAAAUCUAUAACUAGACAGCAAUAAAACCCAGUGAAGCCAGUGAGGAUUGAGUCGAGUUGUAUCAUGAACUCUCUCGGGAUCUGGGGAAAGUAAAACAGCAUUUGGAUGUAAACUAAACAGAAGAAAAUUAUCUUCGAUUUAAACUUGUGUUUGUUGAAUUGUUCACUGCACAUGAUCAAGAGUCAAGCGGAUGUACCUACUAACAACAAAGUGAAUUUAGUCUGUUAUGUGUUACAUUGCGUGUUCCAUAGCAAUCGAAAAAUCUUUCUCGAAACUUUAAGAUAUUAUCGAAAUGCUCGUUCUCUACUUAUAAAUUAUAUCCAAGUAUAAAAUUAUAUUUCUGCUAGAUUACCAAUUUCGUGCUGAAUUAAAUAUGGAUACGUUACAUAAGUCAUAAAUCCGUGUUUAUCAAUCAAUAUCGAUUAUCUACAAGUGAUAAUAUUGAUCAAUAUCAGUUAUGAACAUUAUCUUUAUAUAAUAAAACUUAUCUUUUAAUGAUAAAUCCACAAUGACCAUCAGUCUGUCGGUACACAAUUUCAAGAUCGCUUUUGAGCGAUAGGACCGCUUGAACUAUGCCGUUGCUUGGGUGCUCUCAUCUAUUGCCAGCUGUGUGGUGUGUUCAACAAAGAAUACUUGUCAAUGAAUACGUUCAGUUCAUUAAAUGCAUACGGCCAAAUCUUCUUAAUUUUAAUCCUAGCAAAAGUUUUACGAAAAAGUAACAUUUCCCCUACUGAUGCUAAAUUGGUGUCAUCGCUCUUUGACAUUAGAUAAAGGAAUGCUAAGACAAGACGCCAAUUUAUAAAACAGUUAUGGACGUUGUUCUUAUAAUUUAAACUUUGUAAUACAAUAUUGAAGACCAUCACGACUCAAAAUAGAAAGGGGUCUCGCGAAAGUUAAUGCUAUGGACGGAUAAUGGGGCUUAUUUUUACAUCGCAAACGAUUGCUUGCGGUGUUUUUUAUUUGGAUCGAAGCCCCCAAAAGGUCAACGAAUAGCUUUUUAACAUUAGACAUUCCACUAAAAGGUCUCGUUCAUUUGAUUUUUUUUGCAUUAUGAUCGUCUUUUAGCAUCCCCCCUGCUAAGUAUGAUAUCAGUAGCAGAAAGGCCACCCGCCAAUUUAGGUUAUUUUUAGGCGACGAUUAUAAUUACAGUAGGUUAAUUACUUUAAUAGCGAUCAUUUUUGAUACAAUAUGGGCGUAGACUUAUUUGAUUCAGUUGAUUAUAAUUUCAGAGACGAGUAUUAUAACUUUAGAGAGGAUGAUACUUUUAAAAUAAAUAUAAAAAUAUUGAGUUGUCCUUCGUCGUCUGUUGUUGAAACCUUGUUAUUCGCCCUUGUAAGACAACAGAGCAGUUGUUAUGAAACAACUUGUUUAAACAGAUUGCAACUAUGCCGAGCCGCCUACGACGCAUUUGUCUCCGUCUUAAUUUAUAGGUUGCAUUUCCAUAUUUUCGAAUUACUUUUGCUUUUCUUAGCAACAAAUUUAACAAAAAAUAUACAAGGGGGAUAGCGCAUCUGUUUGCAUUAGUGCCUUUAUGAUAAUAUAGGGGCCCAGUGCUGAUCAUUUUGGACAAUCAUUACGUUUCGAAACUCAAAUAAGGAGGCGUAUUUUCCAAGCAUUAGAUUUGCAAUUCGCAUGCGAAAUCGCACAAGCCGUAAAGAAUUAGGUAGAAUUAGUAUCUUCUAAGACGAGUAGGUAAUAAGGCUUGAAUUAAACCGUGAGCUAGCCGGGUAUUCGAUUGCAGAAUAAGGCUCGAGGACUCGUUUACGGUUUAAGAAUCAGGUUCUGUAUAGCUACUGGUGUAUCUAGGUACAGACCACAGCACAUCAGACUGUACAUUUUUGUUGCAAAAUAACACCUAUAGCAACGACUUAAGACCUCAGUGUCAAGCUUGAUAUUAUUAUGCUUGGUAGCCCAUACUUGGUAGAUAAAUCCCAGUUCAGACUUGGACCGGGAAUUCCAUGUCUAAAUAUAGCACGAAAUAAUGUAGCUGGUAAAGAGCAGAUACUAACAACAUUCAAUGGAUCAAGUUACUUUAAUUGCAGA